rnacentral:rRNA from 1 species
ACUGCUCAGUAACACGUGGAUAACCUGCCCUUGGGUCCGGCAUAACCCNNNAAACUGGGGAUAAUUCCGGAUAACGCACAUAUGCUGGAAUGCUUUAUGCGUAAAAUGGAUUCGUCUGCCCAAGGAUGGGUCUGCGGCCUAUCAGGUAGUAGUGGGUGUAAUGUACCUACUAGCCAACAACGGGUACGGGUUGUGAGAGCAAGAGCCCGGAGAUGGAUUCUGAGACAUGAAUCCAGGCCCUACGGGGCGCAGCAGGCGCGAAAACUUUACAAUGCGGGAAACCGUGAUAAGGGGACACCGAGUGCCAGCAUCAUAUGCUGGCUGUCCGGGUGUGUAAAAUACACCUGUCAGCAAGGGCCGGGCAAGACCGGUGCCAGCCGCCGCGGUAACACCGGCGGCCCGAGUGGUGAUCGUGAUUAUUGGGUCUAAAGGGUCCGUAGCCGGUUUGGUCAGUCCUCCGGGAAAUCUGACGGCUCAACCGUUAGGCUUUCGGGGGAUACUGCCAGGCUUGGAACCGGGAGAGGUAAGAGGUACUACAGGGGUAGGAGUGAAAUCUUGUAAUCCCUGUGGGACCACCUGUGGCGAAGGCGUCUUACCAGAACGGGUUCGACGGUGAGGGACGAAAGCUGGGGGCACGAACCGGAUUAGAUACCCGGGUAGUCCCAGCCGUAAACGAUGCUCGCUAGGUGUCAGGCAUGGCGCGACCGUGUCUGGUGCCGCAGGGAAGCCGUGAAGCGAGCCACCUGGGAAGUACGGCCGCAAGGCUGAAACUUAAAGGAAUUGGCGGGGGAGCAC